GAUGAACGCUGGCGGCGUGCCUAAUACAUGCAAGUCGAGCGAACAGACGAGGAGCUUGCUCCUCUGACGUUAGCGGCGGACGGGUGAGUAACACGUGGAUAACCUACCUAUAAGACUGGGAUAACUUCGGGAAACCGGAGCUAAUACCGGAUAAUAUAUUGAACCGCAUGGUUCAAUAGUGAAAGACGGUUUUGCUGUCACUUCUCGAUGGAUCCGCGCCGCAUUAGCUAGUUGGUAAGGUAACGGCUUACCAAGGCAACGAUGCGUAGCCGACGUGAGAGGGUGAUCGGCGACACUGGAACGGGGACAGGGUCCAGACGCCUACGGGAGGCAGCAGUAGCGAACCUUACGCAGUGGGCGAAAGCCUGACGGAGCAACGCCGCGUGAGUGAUGAAGGUCUUCGGAUCGUGAAACUCUGUUAUUAGGGAAGAACAAAUGUGUAAGUAACUAUGCACGGCUUGACGGUACCUAAUCAGAAAGCCACGGCUAACUACGUG
rnacentral:rRNA from 1 species